rnacentral:tRNA from 1 species
UAGCCUAAUAGUUAAGGUGCUCUCCUCUCAAGUGGGAUAUAUGGGUUCAAAUCUCAU